UUGAACGCUGGCGGAAUGCUUUACCCAUGCAAGUCGCGCGGCAGCGCGGCCUUCGGGCUGGCGGCGAGCGGCGAACGGGUGAGUAAUGCAUCGGAACAUGCCCAGUCGUGGGGGAUAACACUUCGAAAGAAGUGCUAAUACCGCAUACGUCCUGAGGGGGAAAGCGGGGGAUCGCAAGACCUCGCGCGAUUGGAGUGGCCGAUGUCAGAUUAGCUAGUUGGUGGGGUAAAGGCCUACCAAGGCGACGAUCUGUAGCUGGUCUGAGAGGAUGAUCAGCCACACUGGGACUGAGACACGGCCCAGACUCCUACGGGAGGCAGCAGUGGGGAAUUUUGGACAAUGGGGGCAACCCUGAUCCAGCCAUUCCGCGUGAGUGAAGAAGGCCUUCGGGUUGUAAAGCUCUUUCGGCAGGAACGAAACGGUGGGCUCUAACAUAGUCCGCUAAUGACGGUACCUGAAGAAGAAGCACCGGCUAACUACGUG
rnacentral:rRNA from 1 species